rfam:Dictyostelium discoideum AX4 chromosome 5, whole genome shotgun sequence.
GUUGGCCUUACAGCAAAUUCUCACAAAUUUUUACUGAUUAAAAAAAACCCCUUGUCAACUG